UUGAAUAAAUCUGAUGUGGUUGUAGCUGGCUCUCCGGAGCAUGUGCACGCCCGUCACCUUUAUCUUUCCACCUGUGCACACACUGUAGUCCUGGAUACCUCUCGCUGCAAGGCGGAUGCAGAGGCUGCCGUGCUUUCGAAAGAAGGUCGGCUUCCUCUGAAUUUCCAGGUCUAUGAUUUCACACACCCCAAACGAAUGUUAUAGAAUGUUAUCAUAAGGCCUUAGUGCCUAUAAACUUAUA
rnacentral:misc_RNA from 1 species